GUCCUCCCACCACCCCUGGAACCUUGCUGUUCACCAGAUUCUAAAAGAUCAACAGAGACACACAGGCAUAGGAUGGGUACUUUCUGACUCAAAGCAUUUUUCUAGCUGGGGCCACAAGGUCCCCUGAGAGAGAGAGGACUCUGAUUCAGCCUUGUAGUGACUGAGGAAGGAGACGGAAGAAUUCCUCUUAGUGAUUGGAUCAGACAUUUCUAGAAAAUACCAGCACAGCAGAGAUAUGACACGGAGAACUGCCCUCCCUGGGCGGCUGUCAACAGUCUAUAGGA
rnacentral:lncRNA from 1 species